rnacentral:tRNA from 1 species
GGAGGGGCCAUGGCUUAAUGGUACAACAUCUGCUUGGGAUGCAGAAGACCCUAAGUUAAAUUCCUGGCAUCUCUA